rnacentral:lncRNA from 1 species
ACGUCAACAAGAGUUUCACGAUAAAAUAGUGGAGCAAAGAGAGAAGGGAAGUAUUGGCCAUACGCUCAUUCCUGAUACACUCAUUUUCGACUGUUCAUUUUUGACCGAAAACAGAAAAAGCUCCAAAAUGUCAUUCGGAGACGGCUGCACAAGCGGUGGACACAACUGCUGCACAAUCCUCUAAACUCAGAACAUUCGAGUGCAUUAAUAUUGCACUAACAGAUACUUAGUAGUAUAGAAGAGUCUUUUAGCACAUACAGUAACAUUAUCAUUCAGUACAUUUAUAAUACUUUUAGUACAUUCAUGAUACUUUAGUACAUUUAUGAUAUCAUUGUUUAGCUCAAAAGUGGCCGUUAAUUUAUAUUUCUUCACAAAAAAGUGAAUAAUUACUACUUACAAUGUAAAUACAUGUACUCAAUGUCAGCCUAUGGUAGCUGCAGGCAAACCAAAAUAUCAAAUAAAAGAUGCAAGCCAUUAAAGACAUACUCAUGUCAUCCAGUUACAUACAUUUCAAUGCUAAGCACAAAUAUAGAUGGUCUACAUACAAAAUUUAGAAAACUUCAAAGCAACAUAUGAACAUACAUGUACAUGUACAUAUAUAUGUAGGUUAUUCAUUGGUUAGUUCAUUCCACCAAUGAAACCUUAAGAUACAGUGGAAGAGGGAGGGACUUUUAAUGCAGCGCUUUAUAAACAAUUCACAUUCAUUAGGAGACAAACAUGUCUCAGGUGGGCCGGAAUGGGAGUGACGUAGUGGGGCUUCCCAAGUUACCAUGUCAACACACUUCCACCCUAAAUAGCGGAGGUUUCACAGAAGUAAAGAAUAGGCCAUAACAACAAGUAAUUCUAACAAUUUAUUAUUUGAGCAAAAACAAAAGGAAAAACCAAAAUGGCAAAUGGAGAUGGAUCAAGUAGUGAUGGAAACUGUGACUGCUGUUGUUGCACAAUCCUUUAAACUCAAAACUCUCGUGUGCAUUAAUAUUGCACUGACAUACAUGUACACUUAGUAGUACAAAAGAGUCUUUUUAUCAGUUAUAGUAAAAUAUUAGUCCGUCCAUUUUUUAACUCGAUUUAUAAUACUAACGUACACGUAACUUAGAUUUUCUUAGAAAAAAAGGCCAUUAUUAAAACAAUUUUAUGUAUCUGUUAUAUGAUCAAAAGGCAGCUUAAAGCAAAUCCAAAUAUCAAAAAAAAGAUGCUGACUGCUGAAAACUAUAUUCCUAAUAAGGAUUCGGGGAAGUUUAAAAUAGUACUUGACCAAUGAGCGAACAGAGAGAGGGAGGGAAAGAGGGAGGAUGAUGUCAUCUAAAGGCCUUCACGUGAACGGCUUUAUAAAAACAGCUAAGAAUAAUAGAAUAAUAGCCGGUUCCCCUAAUAGCUCUCUCUUACUAGCAAACUGAUCAACGAAAAGAAGCAAGCAAAAUGAACGGAGAUGGUGACAAAGGAGGUGGAAAUAAUUGGUGUGAGAAGUACUGUAUCAUUUUAUGAAGAAAUGAACUGCUACUUUUAGCUACUAUAGUCUUUUAACACUGUUUUAUUAGUUAGUUAUAGUGCAUUAAUGCUGUUUGUUAGUGAAAAUUAAUCAAAUAAGCACCACA